GACGAACGCUGGCGGCGUGCCUAAUACAUGCAAGUAGAACGCUGAAGCUUGGUGCUUGCACCGAGCGGAUGAGUUGCGAACGGGUGAGUAACGCGUAGGUAACCUGCCUGGUAGCGGGGGAUAACUAUUGGAAACGAUAUCUAAUACCGCAUAAGAGUAGAUGUUGCAUGACAUUUGCUUAAAAGGUGCAAUUGCAUCACUACCAGAUGGACCUGCGUUGUAUUAGCUAGUUGGUGAGGUAACGGCUCACCAAGGCAACGAUACAUAGCCGACCUGAGAGGGUGAUCGGCCACACUGGGACUGGGACACGGCCCAGACUCCUACGGGAGGCAGCAGUAGGGAAUCUUCGGCAAUGGACGGAAGUCUGACCGAGCAACGCCGCGUGAGUGAAGAAGGUUUUCGGAUCGGAAAGCUCUGUUGUAAGAGAAGAACGAGUGUGAGAGUGGAAAGUUCACACUGUGACGGUAUCUUACCAGAAAGGGACGGCUAACUACGUG
rnacentral:rRNA from 1 species